AGAGUUUGAUCCUGGCUCAGGAUGAACGCUAGCGGCAGGCUUAACACAUGCAAGUCGAGGGGCAGCGCGGGGUAGCAAUACUCUGGCGGCGACCGGCGAAAGGGUGAGUAACGCGUGAGCAACAUGCCCGGUACCGGGGGAUAGUCGAUGGAAACGUCGUGUAAUACCCCGUAACAACAGAGGCCGCAUGACCUUUGUUUAAGAGAUUUAUCGCUACCGGAUUGGCUCGCGUCCCAUUAGGCAGUUGGCGGGGUAACGGCCCACCAAACCGACGAUGGGUAGGGGUUCUGAGAGGAAGGUCCCCCACAUUGGAACUGAGACACGGUCCAGACUCCUACGGGAGGCAGCAGUGAGGAAUAUUGGACAAUGGCCGAGAGGCUGAUCCAGCCAUGCCGCGUGCGGGAGGACGGCCCCUAUGGGUUGUAAACCGCUUUUGUUGGAGAGCAAUAAGGUCCACGUGUGGAUCGAUGAGAGUAUCCAGCGAAUAAGCAUCGGCUAACUCCGUGCCAGCAGCAGC
rnacentral:rRNA from 1 species